GUGAUUGUAGCUCAGUUGGUAGAGCACCGGACUUUUAAUCCGGUUGUCAUGAGUUCGAGCCUCAUCAGUCACA
rnacentral:tRNA from 2 species